rnacentral:rRNA from 1 species
UACAGAGGUCUCAAGCGUUGUUCGGAUUCAUUGGGCGUAAAGGGGUGCGUAGGCGGCGCGGGUAAGUCGGGUGUGAAAUCUCGGAGCUUAACUCCGAAACUGCAUUCGAUACUGCCGUGCUUGAGGACUGGAGAGGAGACUGGAAUUUACGGUGUAGCGGUGAAAUGCGUAGAUAUCGUAAGGGAAGACCAGUGGCGAAGGCGGUUCUCUGGGCCGGUACUGACGCUGAGACGCGAAAGCGUGGGGAGCGAACAGG